UACGUAGGGUGCAAGCGUUGUCCGGAAUUAUUGGGCGUAAAGAGCUCGUAGGCGGCUUGUCGCGUCGGCUGUGAAAACCUAGGGCUCAACCCUGGGCCUGCAGCCGAUACGGGCAAGCUAGAAUUCGGUAGGGGAGACUGGAAUUCCUGGUGUAGCGGUGAAAUGCGCAGAUAUCAGGAAGAACACCCGUGGCGAAGGCAGCUCUCUGGGACGGUACUGACGCUGAGACGCGAAAGCGUGGGGAGCGAACAGG
rnacentral:rRNA from 1 species